GAAGCCUCACUUCGUUCUUGCUCUCUACUCUCAAGCUUCGCUUCUUUUUCUCCGGCAUCAAGGCUCUUCGUCCCUUUUCGUUCUCCAUGAACCCUAGUCCCUUCCGAGGUAUCGAGGCUGAAAUGAUCUUCAUGGCCUCACGGAUUCCUUCUUCUCCGAAAAUCAGGGUUUGAUCAAGAGUGGGAAGGAGACAUGAAGCGGAGGAAAAUCUUUGUCGAUGCUCUUGCUAAGCUUCUGCAUCGCGAGUUUGGUUUUGAUCCAAGGGAUUUACAGUUUCGCAUCAGAUAUAAUGAGGUGGUACCAGCAUGAUUGAAGCAGAGCAUAUUUU